rnacentral:rRNA from 1 species
UCACUUUCAACAACGGAUNCUNCUUGGUCCUCGCAUCGAUGAAGAACGUAGCGAAGUGCGAUAUGUAAUGUGAAUUGCAGAAUUNCCGUGAAUCNANUCNGAAUCUUUGAACGCAAAUUGCACUCUCUUCGGGGAGUAUGCCUGUUUGAGGGUCA